rnacentral:rRNA from 1 species
GAUGAACGCUGGCGGCGUGCCUAAUACAUGCGAGUCGAGCGAACAGAUGAUGAGCUUGCUCCUCUGACGUUAGCGGCGGACGGGUAAGUAACACGGGGAUAACCUACCUAUAAUACUGGGAUAACUUCGUGGAACCGGAGCUAAUACCGGAUAAUAUAUUGAACAGCAUGGUUCAAUAGUAAAAGACGUUUUUGCUAUCACUUAGAGAUGCAUCCUCGCCCCUUUGUCUCAUUGGUAAGUUAACGGCUUACAAAGGAAACAAGGCGUAGCCGACCUGAGAGGGUGGACGGGCACACUGGAACUGAGAGACGGUGCAGACUCCUAAGGGGAGCAGCAGUAGGGAAUCUUACGCGAGGGGGGAGAGCCUAAUGGAGCAACGCGGAGGGAGUGAUGAUGGACUUCGGCUGGGAGAACGCUGUUAUUAGGGAAGAAGAAAUGUGUAAGUAACUAUGCACGUAUUGACGGUACCUAAUCAGAAAGCCACGGCUAACUACGUG